AGGGACCUCAGGUCAG
rnacentral:rRNA from 1 species